GCCUUGAUGGUGAAAUGGUAGACGCGCGAGACUCAAAAUCUCGUGCUGAAGAGCGUGGAGGUUCGAGUCCUCUUCAAGGCA
rnacentral:tRNA from 1 species